CCUACGGGGCGCAGCAGUGGGGAAUAUUGCACAAUGGGGGAAACCCUGAUGCAGCAACGCCGCGUGAAGGAAGACGGUUUUCGGAUUGUAAACUUCUGUUCUUAGUGAAGAAGAAUGACGGUAGCUAAGGAGCAAGCCACGGCUAACUACGUGCCAGCAGCCGCGGUAAUACGUAGGUGGCAAGCGUUGUCCGGAAUUACUGGGUGUAAAGGGUGUGUAGGCGGGGCUGCAAGUCAGAUGUGAAAAUUAUGGGCUCAACCCAUAACCUGCGUCUGAAACUGUAGCUCUUGAGAGUGGGAGAGGUA
rnacentral:rRNA from 1 species